rnacentral:rRNA from 1 species
GAUGAACGCUGACAGCAUGCUUAACACAUGCAAGUCUUUGGCGAAUCUGUUCUUUCACAGGUUAGCUCGGGCGGACGGGUGAGUAACGCGUAAAGAACUUGCCCUGCAGACAGGUAUAACAGCCGGAAACGACUGAUAACACCUGAUACAAUUGCCGGCUCGCACGUGCCUGGCAAUGAAAAGAGGGGCUGCAGGAGAGCUUUGCGUCCUAUUAGCUUGUUGGUGAGGUGACGGCUCACCAAGGCGAUGAUAGGUAGCCGGCGUGAGAGGGUGAACGGCCACUAGGGGACUGAGAUACCGCAGUUACUCAUAGGGGAGGCAGGAGUGGAAAAUAUCGGACUGGGGGGGCAACUGUGAUCCAGAAAUUCUGUGUGGGAGAAGAAGGUUUUCGGAGUGUAACGUGCUUUCAGCAGGGAAGAAGAAAGUGACGGUACCUGCAGAAGAAGCGACGGCUAAAUACGUG